UAAUCCUCUGACGAUCACUUUAUCUGCACAUAUGUAACAGUGUUUUGCUAUGAAUAAGUAUUUUACGACGCAAAACUUGUGUAAAUACCGCAAUAAAAUUAUCUUCAUUGAUGCAGACAGGAGGUAUUACAACAAAAUAAAACACAUCAGUUCUAGGAUAUUUAAAUAAGUUGAAACAAUUACAGAAAUCGAUGAACUGUGAACCUAUCCAGUGACCUAUCACAGAUGUGUCACUAGCUGAUACGAAGGUGUUUGUCUUUGAAGGUGGAAUCCAAAUUAAGAGACAGCUGAGAUUGAAAGAACAAUAAGCAUUCAGACUUGCUGACAAUUGUGUCUGUACAUAGAAUUUAAUCCUGUCUUCUCUGUUAGGACGUAAAAUGGAUUCCUCAGAAGAAAAUGCGCAGCUUCUGGAAUACCUAAAUGAUCAGAAGAUACAGGAAUACGCUCCGGCUAUUGCAUACUCCGCAUUUGUUAUGAUACUAGGAAUCUUUGGGAAUAUUUUCUCCAUUAUAUACUACGGAUUUAAAUCCCCAAAAACUACUACCAAUAGUUUGAUAACGUACUUGGCAGUCAAGGACAUUGUGACAUGUAUCGUGUUCUGCGAUGAAAUAAUUGAAUUGUGCUUUACAAUAACUUUCAAGAAUGUUAUCGGAUGUAAGUUUAUGUAUUUUACUAACCAUACAUUGGUAAUAGGGUCUGGUUUCAUUUUGACAUUGAUAAGUGUAGAUCGUUUCCGAAAGAUCUGUGGCGGCAAUCGUGGAAAUUAACUGUGUUAACCGCCAAAAUUUGCGUUGGGGUAUUGUUUUUCUAUCUUUUCUCCUGUCUGUCAGAGAUUUGUUAUUUUAGACGUUGGGCAGGUAAACCUUAUAUCCCCCGCGCAGAAUAGAUCAAUUCCUGAUUACGAGGGACGGGGAUAAGAAAACGACAGUUACUGACUUUCAGUUGAUCGAUUAAGCAACUUUUAUAACUUUUAUCACAACAAUGGCUGUCUUGUACUCAUUUGUAGUAAGAGAGUUUUGGGUACAAAGUCAACGGAAGGAAAGCUAUGCGCUUCUGGUAGCGGCAAAAUCAAGUGUUACUGAAUCAGAUUCAACUCGGCUGACGUGAAAGACUUUCAUAAGAAAUCUACAGAAGAUACUGGCUCAUCUGUUCAGAAUGAAAGUAUUGACCAAAACGUUUCACACUCGGACAUAAAAGUUGACUUUAACACUCCACAAUUAAUUUUCAGCCAGUUACCUGAACAGAAAGAGAAAUUUUUUACGGUUAAAAGUAACAUUGCAAAAAUUGGCGAUGAUAAACCAUCCGCGAAAAGAAAUCAAACAGAAAAUAGUAUAGAGCACAAGCAGAAUAAUUCUAAAAGAAAACAUGCUGAUAGCAGUUAUGAUAAUUGUUAUUACAGGGGCAAGUGUUUUAAGCUUUGUGUCUUACUUUAUCGUGACCCUUGGAGUAAAGCGGACAUCAAAAACUCCCGAGCAAGAAUUCAGUGUCGGUAAGCAGAAUACACUAUGGUCGUUCAUGCUCAACAAUGCUGUAAAUCCCUACAUCAUGGGGUUAUUUAACAGGCAGUUUAGACGUUUUGUAAAGGAUAUCAUUUUUAAAUGUCAGUUAUUAAGGAAUUAGUUUAUAUAGGUAUUGUAAAGGAAAUCAUUUGUAAAUGUCAGUGUGUUUUAGGAAGUAGUUUAGACGUUUAAUAAAGGAUAUCAUUGGUAAAUGUCAGUGUUUGGGGAAGUAGUUUUGACGCUUUGUAAAGAAUAUUAUUAGCAAAUUGCAGUGUUUGGGGAAGUAGUUUAGACGCUUUUAUUUGCAAAUAUGAGUGCAUUAAUAAAUGUUUGCAGUUUGGUCUAAAUUGUUUUCUACAACAAAUAUUUGAUUAAUUUCUGUCAGUACUUCUUAAAAAAUUAACAUGUUUAAUUCAUAUUCUUGGAAAAACAUCCGCGCAGUCUGGUCAGGGUUCGCUAACGGAUUCUCUAAUUGCUAUAGGUUUACAAAUCGAACAACAUGGAACCAGACCAGACUGUGAGGAUGCGCAGGCUGGUCUGGAUCCAUGCUGGUCGCAAAGCCACUAUGUUAGUUUUCUCAUGGCGCGGCUCAUAUAAAAGGUUAUAAUAUAUAACUUGAUUUUGGACGUAAAUAUAGUUGUGAACAUUUAUUAUUCACACUAUAUCUACUGUGUAAUUACAUAACAAUUUAGUGGUUUUACAUUUUAUGAUAUGCAUUUACUUAUUUGUUUUUAUGUAAAUAGUGUGUGGAGUAUGACUCCCGCAAAAUAAUUUAAACGACAGCAUGUUUAUGUAAUAGAAAGAGCAUUGAAAUUCGAGGGUAAACGAUUUGUACGAGGGGGCGUAGCCCCCGACUAUAAAUCGUUUUGUCCGAGAGUUUUAAUGAUCUUUCUGUUUUGUAUCAUAGCCAUCCAUAUAUGGUAGUUCAGUAGGCGUUCCACAUUGCCAUAUACAGCAGUUCAGUGAGUACUUAAAAUCCUUGCUUUACAAAUGUGUAAAGCUCAGGUAAAAUAAACCAAUGCGAGCGCAGAAAAUCAAUAAAAUGCACUUCGCUGUCUGCUGUUAGAGACACGCCCAUACACGCUGGCAAACUUUCCUAUCCAACAGUGCCGUAACUAGCGUGCGGGUAUUUAAUACCUGUACACUUUUAGUUCCCGCACCCUGCGCUCAGUGUUUACGAUUUACCUGUACCAAAUUUGUUUAGAAAAAGCACCGAGCUAUUAUCUGUUAUAAAAAUGAACAACAACGAUUCUGUGUCUGGUCGGUUCGUUUAAACUCAUAUAUUAUUACACAUAUUAGGUCAGAGAGCAAUCUUAUUCUCUAAAUUCAAUGGACUUUCAUAUCUGUUUGUCUUGUGAAAACAGCAAAUAUGUAAACUUGUUUGUCGAUAAAACUAAGUAUACUUCCGGGUCCAGCUCUUUCCUUUUCAUGUAUUCAUAUCAUACUUUAUCCUUAUUCGGUGGUGGACGAUAGGUAUAUUACGUAAUCCGCAUUGAUGCAUAGUCGAUAUUCUGUUAAGAAGCAGCAUGUAUUUUGGAAUACUAUUAGAGCAAUCAUUACUGAAUUAUUCUGCACAUUGAAAAUAAAGCAUUUUUGUUUUGUUUAGGAGACAGUUGAGGGUUGAAAGAACAAUAAGCAUUCAGACUUGCUGACAAUUGUGUCUGUACAGGGAAUUUAAUCCUGUCUUCUCUGUCAGGACGUAACGAAAAAAAAUGGAUUCCUCAGAAGAAAAUGCGCAGCUUCUGGAAGACCUAAAUGAUCAGAAGAUACAGGAAUACGCUCCGGCUAUUGCAUACUCCGCAUUUGUUAUGAUACUAGGAAUCUUUGGGAAUAUUUUCUCCAUUACAUACUACGGAUUUAAAUCCCCAAAAACUACUACCAAUAGUUUGAUAACUUACUUGGCAGUUACGGACUUUGUGACAUGUAUCGUGUUCUGCGAUGAAAUAAUUGAACUGUGUUUUACAAUAACUUUUAAGAAUGUUAUCGGAUGUAAGUUUAUGUAUUUUACUAACCAUACAUUGGUAAUAGGGUCUGGUUUCAUUUUGACAUUGAUAAGUGUAGAUCGAUUCCGUAAGAUCUGCCGACGGCAAUCGUGGCAGCUAACUGUAUUAACAGCCAGAAUAUGCGUUGGGGCAUUGUUAUUUCUAUCUUUUCUCCUGUCUGUCAGGGAUUUUGUUAUUUUAGAUGUUGUACAGGUAAACCUUACUCUCACUGCGCAGAAUACAACAAUUCCUGGUUACUACUGCACACAUACGAGGGACGGGGACAAGAAAACGACAGUUACUGCAUUUCAGUUGAUCGAUUUAGCAACUUUUGUUAUAGUUAUCCCAACAAUGGCUGUCUUGUACUCAUUUGUGGCAAGGGAAAUUUGGAUACAAAGGAAAAAGAAGGAAAGCCAUAUGAUUUUGGUAGCGGCAAAAUCAAGUGUUACCGAAUCUGAUUCAACUGAUGUGAAAGGCUUUCAUAAGAUAUCUGCAGAAGAUACUGGUUCAUCUGUUCUGAAUGAAAAUACUGACCAAAACGUUUCACACUCAGACACGAAAGUUGACAUUAACACUCCACAAUUAAUAUUCAGCCAGUUACCUGCACAGAAAGAGAAAUGUUUUACGGUGGAAGGUAACAUUCCAAAAAUUGACGAUGCUAAAUCACCCGCUGCAAUAAAUCCAACAGAAAAUAAUAGAAAGCACAGGGAGCAUAAUUCUAAAAGAAAACAUGCUGACGCGAUUGAAAGAAAGAUAGCAGUUAUGAUGAUUGUAAUUACAGGGGCAAGUAUUUUAAGCUUUGUGCCUUACUUUAUCGUGAACCUUGGAGUAAAGCGGAAAUCAAACACACCCGAGCAAGAAUUUAGUGUCGGUAUGCAAAUUGCAUUACGGUCGUUCAUGCUCAACAAUGCUGUAAAUCCAUACAUUAUGGGGUUUUUCAACACGCAGUUUAGACGCUUUGUCAAGGACAUCAUUUGUAAAUGUCAGUGUUUGAGGAAGUAGUUUAGACGCUAUGUACAGGAUAUCAUUUGUGAAUGUCAGUGUUUGACGAAGAAGUUCAGACGCUUUGUAAAGGAUAUUAUUUGUAAAUUUCUGUGUUUGAGGAGGUAGUUCAGACACUUUUUAAAGGAUAGCAUUUGUAAAUGUCAUUGUUUGCUCAAGGAAGUAGUUUAGACGCUUUGUAAAGCAUAUCAUUUUUAAAUAAGAAAUAGUUUGGAGUUUGGGCUUAAUUGUUUUCUACAACAAAUAUUUGGUUAAUCUGGGUCAGAACGUUUUCAAAACUUACAUGUUAGUGUCGUAUUCUUGGGAAAAAAACUAUUCAUAGAAUUGUACGUUAGCUUACUAGCUAUUCCUGAGUAAAAGAGGACUACCAAAACACAUUAAGCUGUGCGUGGGUGUGUUAACGGAUCAUUGACAAAAUGAUUUGGACUGACAGUGUUAUAUAAACAGAUUGGUUCCCUUGUGUAAAGAUGGUUUAGGGGUGAGUAAGUCUCUACAUUUAAGGCCUCUUUCUAUGUUUAAAUAUUUAUGAAGAUCGAAAAGGAUAAUGUUUGUACUGGAAUAUGUAAAUGAAUAUAGUUACGACAAACCAGGAAAUUUAUUAUUCAAACUAUAUCUACUCUGAAAUUACGUAAUAAUUUAGUUGUUUUAGAUCUUAUGAUAUGCAUUUACUAAUUUGUUUUUAUAUAAAUAGUUUGUGGAGUAUACUUUGUUCUGAAAUACAGUAUAAUAUUAUGUUUCUGUAAAUAACACUUAGUUUCUAUUGUUAUAAAUCUUUAUAAAAUACUUGAACACAAUAACCGCUAUAACAGUACAUAUAAUAUAAUAAUAAAGAUUGCUUUAUAUCAUGGCUAUUUGGUACUGUACACGUUGUUUUAAUGUCAGUUAAAAGAGAGCCAUUCUAAAUAUAAUGACACUCGUGCUGGAAUAUGGUAAACAAUCUGUGUAGAGAGUUCAAAUUUAGUUUAUCCCUUCAAAUUAUUCGCCCUGACUUCCGUCAGGUGAUCGUUGCAGCGUGGUAACUGAAAAAUACUACUCCAAAGUUCUUAAUUCGAUAAAUAUUUUUGAAUAAGUGAGAUGAUUGAUUUGUACCACUUUUUCGUCGUUCAGAAAUUUGUGAACGAUGGCGCUUUUGUGAGCCGCAGCACUUUUGUAAUUUCGUUGAACUGUUUUCAGUGCUUGGUCUCUAUAAAACUUUCCAGUGACUGAGUUCCUGACGGUGUAGGAAUUUGUAUAGUACACACUGAGUUAAAGAAGAUAGAAUACAAAUACAAACGUUUUUGACACUUUUAGCUUUUUUGCAAUUACUGGUCUACGUUCACCUUUUCACAGCCACUGUCUGUUGUCAAAGCGAAGCUGUGGCUUAUAAAAGUAUAUCCAGAUCUCGUCUCAUCUUAGGAGCUACAAUCUUAAUUUCGAGAAAUAGGCGUUUCUUUAGCACAUUUGACCCUACUGGCCUUUUGCUCCUCGACUGACAGGUGAGGCAGUAUUCGGGCACAAAUCUUUCUUAAACAAGUGCUUGGUGAGAAUACAGGCCGGUUUUCUAUUCGUUUGUAUUUCAGACAGAAAAUAUAAGGUAUAUAAUAAGUACAUGUGUCUGUAUUUUGAUGUAUGCAAAUAAUAAAACAAGGACAAUACAGGAUAUAGACAAAUAUAAGUUAGCUGGCAUCAGACCUCGCAUCAUGCAUUAACAAGUUCGUUUUUAUUUAAAUGGAACGGAUUACUUGCUUACUUUGGUUAUAAAAUUAUGCAUGACUUUUGAGUAUUUUACAUAUUUACAUUGUUAGAAGUACUUUAACACUAUCGCCGUUUUAAAUUUGAUUAUAUCAGGCUGGGCAAAGUUUAUUAAACCGACAGGUAGCAUUUACGUUCCGGGUUUAUUCUAUACUUAAAGAUUUAAACCUUAAACACGACAUGGCCACCAUCACAAAAUAACAUAGUCACAACGUUCCACCUUUUGUUCGAUCUACCUUUGAGGAUAUUGAAAAAGGUUCACUGUUACUCGUUAUUAAUCGCAAGUUGUACUUUUAUUUCAUAAUAAAUGAAUCUUCAAACUUAAUUUCUGAUGUCAAAUAACAAAACGGUUAAAUAGCCCAGCAAGGCAUUCAAUAAGUGUUCAUUUCAGACUUUAUGACAAAUAACAUGAGAGGUGCUAUUUUGUUCCAUCCAAUGAAAGAAAGUAUUUUUAUGACAGAAGUUUUAGAACUUAUUUCCCGAGACUGUUGAAUGAUACACCUUUGAGUAUAGGACAGUCUAAAUUCUCAGACGUUUUAAAGAAGAAUCUGAAAAAAAGUAUGUCAGAGGUUUAUAUUAAUUGUGUUUAAGGAAACAGUUAGGUUUCAUUGUGGUUUGCAGAGCAAUGUCAGCUACAUUUUAAUGCAUUGGCCUUCAAUGUCAAUUUUGAUUUAUGUAUUGUAUGAUUAUUGAUAUAAAUGACAUUUUAUGUUUAAAAACUUAAAUGACGCUGUUGAAUAUAAUAUACUUGUGAAAAAAAAAUAGGCGUUUAAUCAAAUACAACAGUUUCAGUUUCCAGGUUGUAAAGACAAAAUAAAUUGCUAUAAUGAUUGCAACAUAUUUCCUUGUUUUCAAACUGCCCAAAUAACCUUGAGCUUUUUUGUAAGUUACAUGCAAUUCAAUAACAUGCCACACUUCCUUUUUGAACAUAAAAAGUACAGAAUGUACACCCGUUACAAUACGCUUACUAUCAUGUGACAAUUUAUUCGCACUUUCGUAAUUUUCAAUUUAUCUUGUUUUGCAUGUACAACAUUUGCAAAAUCACAUAGUUUUACAAAUAAAUGAAGUUGGAACUUUUAUGGUAUAAAACACGUAAAAACGAAAGCUUCCGUGGGACUCCCUAAUAAAACAAUGCACACCAUGUUUUAUUGUCUUCAUUUGCAGCGUUUAAAUUGAUUCAUAGUUGGAACAUGUUUAAAGUCAAAUAUAUGCAUUUGUUUUAACACCGUCUGUUAGAACAGCUAAUAUUUUUUCCGCCGCGUCACAUCACAUUUUUCUACGCACAACGGUCAAGUGCACUUGAGUCAUAUGCUGUCGUGAUGUUUGUAAUACAAGGGUUUCUAGUCGAAAUAGCUUGGCCUUCGUAAAGCCCAGACGUUGAAUCCACCGUAUUUAUUCAGUAACUAUGGUAAUUUAUACAUUUUACUCCAUCUUACGCAUAUGGUUUGUAAAUACACAUAUAAGUUACUAUAAAAUGCAUACCGGACGGGUUUUCCAGUGCUGCCAAAUGUCUUAUUCAGUGUUGUUAUAUUUUCUGGUCCUUUGGGAAUAUGGAGUACAUUAAAAGUAUGUGUAAUAGAGUCCCGCUUAAGCCGGUGCUAGGAUGCGUGGAGGUGAUGCACACUUCAUUACCUCUCAUGAGCAGACUCAGUAAAAUCGAGUCUGCUAUUAUUCUUCUUGAUUACAUUCUUUGCUACCAAAGCAUCUUUUACAGAUUUUAUUUACAACCAAAUUUGUAAAAAUGGCCGUAAUAGAAAGUAAUUCGUAUAAUUUUAUUUCUUAUACGGUAUUCAAUGUUAUAAGAAAAUUUCUCUGUUUUAACAGUCACUUGAAAGAACGAGACGGUUACAUGUCUCUAUCGAAAAACAAAUAAAUCCUAGAUACUUUUUGACAUUUUUUGAGGAGUUUGACAGACAUAACUACAUUUCUUUCACUUAAAUUUCCGAAUGCGUCGCCUUAAAACCUUUCAAAACGAAACUGGUAAAUCAGUUGACGAUCGUUUUAUCUGAACAUCUGUAGCAGUGCUUUAUUGUAAAUAAGUAUUUUACGACGCAAAAUAUUUUAACAUACUCUGUUUAACAUAGAGUAAGUUAACGCCGCUAUAAACAUCAUCUUAAUUAAUACAGACAGGGGAUGCUCCAAAAAGAAAUCGAUGAACUGUGUACCCAUCCAGUGACCUAUUUCAGUGGUGUCACUAGCUGAUACGAACUGUCUUUGAAAGUGGAAUUGAGAUAGGGGUAACGCAAGUUACUAGUAUUGUGUAAGGAAGGCGUUCUGAGGAAUAACAAUAAUUCCAGAUCAAAAGGAGACAGUCGAGUUUAAAAGAACAACUGCUGACAUUUGUAUCUGUACGUAGAAAUUUAUCCUUCCUUCUCUGUCAGGACGUAACGUGAAAAUGGAUUCCUCAGAAGAAAAUGCGCUGCUUCUUGAAGACCUUAAUGAUCAGAAGAUACGGGAAUACGCUCCGGCUAUUGCAUACUCCGCAUUUGUGAUGAUACUUGGAAUUUUUGGAAAUAUUUUCUCCAUUAUAUACUAUGGAUUCAAAUCCACCAAAACUACUACCAAUAACUUGAUAACGUACUUGGCAGUCACGGACUUUGUGACAUGUAUCGUGUUCUGCGAUGAAAUAAUUGAAUUGUGCUUUACAAUAACUUUCAAGGAUGUUAUCGGAUGUAAGUUUAUGUAUUUUACAAAUCAUACAUUGGUAGUAGGGUCUGCUUUCAUUUUGACUUUAAUAAGUGUAGACCGAUUCCGAAAGAUCUGCCGGCGGCAAUCGUGGCAGUUAACUGUGUUAACAGCCAGAAUUUGCGUUGGGGUAUUGUUAUUUCUAUCUUUUCUCCUGUCUGUCAGGGAUUUUGUUAUUUUAGACGUUGUACAGGUAAACCUUACAUCCCCCGCGCAGAAUAAAUCAAUUCCGGGUUACUACUGCACACAUACGAGGGACGGGGACAUGAAAACUACAGUUACUGCCUUUCAGUUGAUAGAUUUAGCAACUUUUAUAAUAGUUAUCACAACAAUGGUUGUCUUGUACUCAUUUGUUGCAAGGGAGAUUUGGAUACAAAGGAAACGGAAGGAAAGUCAUAUGCUUUUGGUAGCGGCAAAAUCAAGUGUUACAGAAUCUGAGUCAACUGAUGUGAAAGGCUUUCAUAAGAUAUCUGCAGAAGAUACUGGUUCAUCUGUUCUGAAUGAAAAUACUGACCAAAAUGUUUCACACUCAGACACGAAAGUUGACAUUAACACUCCACAAUUAAUAUUCAGCCAGUUACCUGAACAGAAAGAGAAAUGUUUUACGGUGGAAGGUAACAUUCCAAAAAUUGGCGAUGAUCAAUCACCCGCCACAAGAAAUCCAACAGAAAAUAAUAGAGAGCACAAGGAGCAUAAUUCUAAAAGAAAACAUGCUGACGCGAUUGAAAGAAAGAUAGCAGUUAUGAUGAUUGUUAUUACAGGGGCAAGUGUUUUAAGCUUUGUGCCUUACUUUAUCGUGAACCUUGGAGUAAAGCGGAAAUCAAACACACCCGAACAAGAAUUCAGUGUCGGUAUGCAGAUUGCACUACGGUCGUUCAUGCUCAACAAUGCUGUAAAUCCCUACAUCAUGGGGUUAUUUAACACGCAGUUUAGACGUUUUGUAAAGGACAUCAUUUGUAAAUGUCAGUGUUUAAGGAAGUAGUUUAGACGUUUUGUAAAGGAUAUCAUCUGUAAAUGUCAGUGUUUAAGGAAGUAGUUUAGACGUUUUGUAAAGGAUGUAUGGCGUUUGUAAAUGUCAGUGUUUAAGGAAGUAGUUAAGACGUUUUGUAAAGGAUAGCAUUUGUAAAUGUCAGUGUUUAAGGAAGUCGUUAGACGCUUUGUAAAGAAUAUUAUUUGCAAAUGCCAGUGUUUGGGGAUGUAGUUUAGACGCUUUCAUUUGCAAAUGUCAAUGUUUUAAUAAAGAAGAUUGGAGUUUUGGCUAAAUCGUUUUCUACAACGAAUAUUUGAUUAAUCUCUGUCAGUAUUUUUUUCAAAAAUUACAUGUUAAUUUCAUAUUCUUGGACCAACAACUAUUCAUAAAAUUGUAGGGUAGGUUUUUCGAUAUUCUCGAUAAUUCAAGAGGAACUACCAAACCACAUUAAGUUGUUUAGGGUUUAGGGUUAAGUAUCUACUUUUUAAGAUAAGACUUCUUUCUUUGAUAAAAUCUGUAUGAAGAUCGUUUGAGGCUCCUUUUUCUGACUCAAUGUUCUAUUGUUAAGAAUAAAGAGUAAUGACGUAGAACUUGGUUUUGGACUGGAAUGCAUGUAAAUAAAUAUAGUUACGACAAACCAGGAAAUUUAUUAUUCAAACUAUAUCUACUGUACAAUUACAUAAUGAUUUAGUGGUUUUAGAUCUUAUGAUAUGCAUUUACUAAUUUGCUUUUAUAUAAAUAGUGUGUGGAGUAUAUUUUGUUCUGAAAUAUAGUAUAAUAUUGUGUUUCUGUAAAUAAUACCUAGUGUCCCUUGUUUAUCAAAAUACAGACUUCUGUUACCCGAUUUUAAAUGGUGUUUUUACUGUUAGACUAUAUGUAUCUUCCUGAUUUAAAUAUGGAAGUGUGCGUAUUUUGUUCGGAUAAUACAUGCAUGUGUUUUGGGAGGAAAACGUAGUUGUAAGAUAUUUAGCAAAUAAAUUGACGGUACUUAUUUUCCGGGUUUAUUCAAAUCAGACUGCUGAUUAAAUAAUACAAGAUUCUCAACAUUGUACUUACCCGGUAAACAAGUCAAAUAUACUUAUUGACGACGGCAAUGGACAAUGAUGUAGACCUAGACUGGAAUGUAUGUAAAUUAUACAUAGUAACGACAUUUGUAGAACCUUGAAUUACAUUUACGAGUACGACAAUAUUCCUUAAACGUUUAACGUUUGUAUCUCGAAGUUUAAAUUUUUUCACUUUACUCUAGCAUUGUUGCGAUGAUACCUCACAGGAAUCUUAUUUUUUUCAACUGAUGAUAGUAAAGACUUCUCAUGAUCUGCACUGUUCGCCAUUCAGUCAGUAUCUUAUUGGUUUGCACCCCUUUUAACAGUUAAUGGUACUGUCCAACUUGAAAGAUGAACAGGUUCAUUAUAGAAAUUUAGCAGACUAAGGAUUAUGGCUUCCUUUUUAGACUUUAUACGUUGAUGAGUACGGGUCCUGGACAGAGACAAAACAUAACUCUGUCCCUCUGGUCAGAUCGCUCUGUGUCUGUACUAGUAGAGGAUGAAUUAUGCGCCCUGUGUGGCUGCAUUUGAACUAUGUAAAGCGCCUUUGAACGUGAAAUUGAUCAUGAAAAGGGCGAUAUAUAAAUCUGGUAUGAUAAUAAUAAUAAUAAUAAUAAUAAUAACUGAUAAUUAAAUAGCUUGGUAGCUUUAGAUAAUGCGACUUGCAUUUAUCAAUUUCCUUUAAUGAACUAGAUAACUUGCUUACAGCGUUUAUAAAGCGUACCGCCCUUGAAAAAAAAAUCUGUUUAAUGUUAAUUUUGUGAUAUUAUUUUGGAGUGUUUUACAAAUUUCUAUUGUUAUUAAUAUUUAUAAAAUACUUAUAACAAUUACCCUUAUAACAAUAAAUAUAAUAAUAAACAUUGAUUUAUA